rnacentral:rRNA from 1 species
AUUGAACGCUGGCGGCAUGCUUUACACGUGCAAGUCGAACGGCAGCGGGGAGGUGCUUGCUUCUCUGCCGGCGAGAGGCGUACGGGUGAGUAAUACAUCGGAACGUGUCGAGAGGAGGGGGAUAACCACCCGAAAGGGUGGCUAAUACCGCAUAAAUUCUGAGGAAGAAAGCUGGGGACCUAGGAAUAGGCCUAGCGCUUUUUGAGCGGCCGAUGUCGGAUUAGCUAGGUGGUGAGGUAAAGGCUCACCAAGGCGAAGAUCUGUAGCGGGUCUGAGAGGAGGAUCGGCCACACUGGGACUGGGACACGGCCCAGACUCCUACGGGAGGCAGCAGUGGGGAAUUUUGGACAAUGGGGGCAACCCUGAUCCAGCCAUGCCGCGUGUAUGAAGAAGGCCUUAGGGUUGUAAAGUACUUUUGUUAGGGAAGAAAAGCCAGCUGUGAAUAAUGGCUGAUACUGACGGUACCUAAAGAAUAAGCACCGGCUAACUACGUG